CUCCAUAAAUUUUUGAUCAAAUUUAUAAUAUAAUGAGUCUGCUUACUAUACUCUUAUAAGUAUAGUCUCUUUUAUACUCAUAAAGUUUUGACAGUUAGACAUACCCCUUUAAUCGUUUUCAUGGAUUAGAUCAUACUAUUCAACCAACCACCCGCUCAAUCUUAGCGGUCACUAUCAUUCUAAUCGGAGACCACUAUCAUCUUAACCGCAUAUUUCUUCAUCCAACAGCUAAAAAUUUAUGAGUAUAAAAAACUCUAUAUUUAUAAUAAUAUGCUAGCCGAACUCUCUCUCUCUCUCUCUGUUUAUAUAUAUAUAUAUAUAUAU
rnacentral:lncRNA from 1 species